AUUGAACGCUGGCGGCAUGCCUUACACAUGCAAGUCGAACGGUAACAGGCCGCAAGGUGCUGACGAGUGGCGAACGGGUGAGUAAUGCAUCGGAACGUGCCCAGUCGUGGGGGAUAACUGCUCGAAAGAGCAGCUAAUACCGCAUACGACCUGAGGGUGAAAGCGGGGGACCGUAAGGCCUCGCGCGAUUGGAGCGGCCGAUGUCAGAUUAGGUAGUUGGUGAGGUAAAGGCUCACCAAGCCGACGAUCUGUAGCUGGUCUGAGAGGACGACCAGCCACACUGGGACUGAGACACGGCCCAGACUCCUACGGGAGGCAGCAGUGGGGAAUUUUGGACAAUGGACGCAAGUCUGAUCCAGCCAUGCCGCGUGCGGGAAGAAGG
rnacentral:rRNA from 1 species